AGAAAAUUUGGAUAAGGGGGCCCUUAUUUUCAUCUCCUUCCGUUCGGUUUUCCUUUCCCAGCCCGCUGGAGCUGAAGCUGUGCACAGCUUCCAUGGCGGCGACGGUCCCAAGUUCUUCGCUCAGUCUGGUGUCAAACCUCCACCUGCAAAGAUGGCGACUCCCAAGCAUUGGUCCGCGGCAUUCUCCGGCUUCAAUUCCCGUUCCUGUUCGACCUCAUCGUAACAAGGGCACUCGUUGUCUUGCCACGCCCCUGCUGUCUUCGCCGGCUUGUGGUGAAAAUGUCGCAGAAGCUGAGAACCUUCAAGAGGGUAGGCCGAGUUUCAAGUGGGUCGAGGUGGGGCGUCGUGCUACUGAGGAGCAGAGGAUUGCCAUAUCCAAUCUUCCUUCUAAGAUGACGAAAAGGUGUAAGGCGUUGAUGAGGCAGAUCAUAUGUUUCGAUCCUCAGAGGGCGACCUUGUCCGAUGUUUUGGCUGCCUGGGUGAGAAUUAUGAAGCCCAGUAGAGCCAAUUGGCUCGCGGUUCUGAAAGAAUUGAAGAAGCUGAAUCAUCCUGCUCAUCUUGAGGUGGCGGAACUUGCUCUGUUAGAAGAAUCUUUCGAAGCUAAUGUUCGUGACUAUACAAAAUUAAUCCAUUGGUAUGGAAAGCAAAACCAACUUCAAGAUGCAGAAAACGCUCUUCUAGCCAUGAAGCAAAGAGGCUUCAUCUGUGAUCAGGUUACCUUGACUGCUAUGGUUGAUAUGUACAGCAAGUCUGGGCAUUUUGAGCUGGCGAACAAAACAUUUGAAGAAAUCAAGCUGCUUGGAUUGCCAUUGGAUAAACGGUCUUAUGGCUCAAUGGUCAUGGCCUACGUUAGAGCUGGAAUGCCUGAACAGGCAGAGAUUUUAUUGAGAGAAAUGGAUGAGCUAGAGAUCUUUGCCGGAAGUGAAGUUUAUAAGGCACUAUUGAGAGCGUAUUCCAUGAUUGGAAAUACCGAUGGAGCUCAGAGGGUUUUUGAUGCUAUUCAAUUUGCAGGGAUUGUUCCAGAUGCUAGGCUAUGCGGGCUGCUUAUAAAUGCCUAUGCAACUACAGGACAAAGUGACAAGGCCCUUGUUGCCUUUGAGAAUAUGAGGAAGGCUGGUAUUGAACCUAGUGAUAAAGCUGUGGCACUCAUUUUGCAUGCUUAUGAAAGAGAGAACAAAAUAAACAAAGCACUGGACUUUCUAAUAGAUUUGGAGAGAGAUGGUAUUGUAAUAGGAAAAGAAGCAUCCGAAAGACUUGCUGGAUGGCUCCACAGACUCGGGGUGGUAGAACAAGUGGAGCUAGUCUUGAGAGAGUAUGCAGCUAAGGAAACCAAUCAUGGACUGUGCACUUCCUGGAUAAAUUGAAGCUUUAUCCUGGAUGGUAAAUCCCAAACUGUACUUAUAUGAAAAAUGGAGGUACAGGAAGAUGGUUAUAGACGGAUUGGAUACGGAGGUUAUGCCUUCUGUUGCAUUCCAAUACAUGAUGCUCGUACAUUGGCUCAAGGCAUUUAAGGGAUUUUGUUAUUUCUCUAGUUCCAAAUCGUGGAGGAUGAGAAUAGAUUUGGGAAUCUGAUCCCAGACCCGUUAAAUGCAAGAUCUGGGGUUUCUUGUGAGGAGCUAAACUGUAGCUUUUGUAGGACCAAAUACAAAUGAGGGAGGACAGACCCAAAGGCUUCUUGAUCAUGUGUUUUUCGUUUUCUCAAAAGGCAGAAGCUGAAGUCCAAAACUUACCAGUGAAACUCAUCAGCAAUCAUGGUGUUUCAGGUAGCCUAUUGCAUUCAAAUAAAUCUCAGGCUCAUUUGCUCCAACUAUGUAAGACUCGUUCUUUGGCGUUGCGUACGAUCUAUUGACUGUACAUCUAGAAUGAAUAUUUCUUGUCAUGUUUAGCCUCUAGUUGAGGUAGGCAUUAGACUACUUAGACAGACCGAGAACUUACACAAUUGGAAGGCUGACUCUCUUACACCUUUCGAUUUUGAUUAAGAGGACAGCUGCUGAGCAAGAUGCAGUAUCAGCCUCUCUUGAAUUCAAGCUCCUGGAAACCACCUCGCUUAGGAAGUCUUUUUUUUUUGUGACAGACAGAGACCUUGGCUACUUAAAAUAACAUUGAGAAGUAGGCUGAUACUGCAUCUUAAUGUUUUUGUCAAUGGGCAAAAUGUUCAUUUGGAUAUAUGCCCAUAUGUCAUAUUGUUCCGUUUGUGAAGGCAUC